AAACAAAUAUGUGAUACCAAAAUAAUCAAUAAACAAGAGAGCAUGUUUUGCAGCAGCAAGUGGUCUAGUGCAACUUGAACUGAUGUAAACUUGUAAAGUGUGAACGCAAAUGGGUAUCUGGUAAGCAGAGUGCUUCCUUUUUUGGAGUGUGAUUUUUUAAUGGAAGUGUGAUAAGAGAGAGGGAGGGAGGGAGAGAGAGAGAGAGAGAGAGAGAGAGAGAGAGAGAGAGGAUUAAACAAUGAGAAUGAGAGAGUGUGAUGCUUAAACUUGUACCUGGGGUAGCAUGUUGCCCUUACACCAUAUCAAAACAUAUCAGAUGUAAAUAUUCUUUGUGAUGUAUAUAUUUUAUAUAGUUGAGCAAGUUGAAGUGCCAUUAUAUGAAUGCUGUGAAUAUAAGGAGUAUAUGUGUAUAGCUUUGGUUCCAAUUUUGUAUGGCAAUUAUUUUUAAAUUGAAAAGGAUUUCAACAAAUAUUUCAUUGGGGUUUUUUUUAAUGAAAGAUCAAUUGCAAAACAAAAAUGGAUAUCAAAAGUCAAGGAGUGAAUGUUCAUAUUGUACGUACUUAUAUAUCAUGUGUAUAUAUAUCUCGAUGAUUCAUCAUUUCAAAUCCUGUAGAUAAUGAGAAUAUUUUUUGAUACAUACUUAUUAACAUUCCAUUUGUACAUGAAUUUUUAUAGCAAAGAUGUAGAUAUCCGCAAUGUAAAAUUGCAUAUAAUUGUCCAUAACUGAAUAUUGUAGAUUCAUACCUAAGUACUAUAUAUGUAUGUUUUAUUAAUAUUUAUCAAUUUAACUUUGGGAUUUAGUUCUGUAUCUUUAGAUCAUUAAAAAAAAUUCAAUAGAGAUGAAAAAAAUUGUAUGACUUUCUUGUAUUUUAAAUCUGAUUCUAACAUGAUUGAACACCAUUUGUUGCAUGUACUAACCAUUUUAUUACCAAGAUUGUAAACAUAGAAUGAUUUAAUAAAUACAAAAAUCAAGUC
rnacentral:misc_RNA from 1 species